UGAACCUGCGGAAGGAUCAUUAAUGGACUGUACUAUGCUCUGUUAUAAGCUUAGAUUUACAAUUCCAAACCCUCUGUGUACAUUUCCUGUUGCUUCCGUGGGGUCACGGGCUGUCCAGAGUGCGUAGGCUUAACCAGUACUCAAGUUAGAUGUUGGUUAGUGUUUUUUCGUGGAGACAGUCCUAGCUGGUUACUGCAGGCGUGGGUUAAUUCCGUAGCUCGGUAGUCAGCACCCAUGAAGCGAAACUAUUUGAAUUUGUUUUGUCUUUUGUCUGAAUUAUAUCAAUAACAAUUGUUAAAACUUUCAACAACGGAUCUCUUGGUUCUCGCAUCGAUGAAGAACGCAGCGAAAUGCGAUAAGUAGUGUGAAUUGCAGAAUUCAGUGAAUCAUCGAAUCUUUGAACGCACAUUGCGCCUCCUGGUAUUCCGGGAGGCAUGCUUGUUUGAACGUCAGAUAGUCCAGUUCAAGCUCUUUUGCUUGGUUGUGGAGGUUGAGCGAUGUCUGUGUGCUCGUUCACCUUUGAAAUUUAUUGGCGUAUGUCUUUGUGUUUUGUUUAGCGUUAUAGGUUAACUCUUUCGCUUGGACUCAUGAAGCUGUGCGGUCAUAAUCACCCCAAUUCCACGUAGGGUUGACUUCAAACAAGUAGGGAUACCCGCUGAACUUAAGCAUAUCAAUAAGCGGAGGAAAAGAAAC
rnacentral:rRNA from 1 species